rnacentral:rRNA from 1 species
UCUACGGGUGGCAGCAGUGAGGAAUAUUGGUCAAUGGGCGCGAGCCUGAACCAGCCAAGUAGCGUGAAGGAUGACUGCCCUACGGGUUGUAAACUUCUUUUAUAAAGGAAUAAAGUGAGGCACGUGUGCCUUUUUGUAUGUACUUUAUGAAUAAGGAUCGGCUAACUUCGUGACAGCAGCCGCGGUAAUACGGAGGAUCCGCGCGUUAUCCGGCUUUUUUGGGUUUAAAGGGAGCGUAGAUGGGUUGUUAAGUCAGGUGUGAAAGUUUGCGGGUCAACCGUAAAAUUGCAAUUGAUACUGGCAGUCUUGAGUACAGUUGAGGUAGGCGGAAUUCGUGGUGUAGCGGUGAAAUGCUUAGAUAUCACGAAGAACUCCGAUUGCGAAGGCAGCUUACUAAACUGCCACUGACAUUGAUGCUCGAAAGUGUGGGUAUCAAACAGGAUUAGAUACCCCAGUAGUC